UACAGAGGGGGCUAGCGUUGCUCGGAAUCACUGGGCGUAAAGCGCACGUAGGCGGCUUUCUAAGUCAGGGGUGAAAUCCUGGAGCUCAACUCCAGAACUGCCUUUGAUACUGGAGAGCUUGAGUCCGGAAGAGGUGAGUGGAACUCCGAGUGUAGAGGUGAAAUUCGUAGAUAUUCGGAAGAACACCAGUGGCGAAGGCGGACUCACUGGUCCGGUACUGACGCUGAGGUGCGAAAGCGUGGGGAGCAAGCAGG
rnacentral:rRNA from 1 species